CUGGCUAAAGAUUAAGGAAAAGCUAACCUACAAAGGUUUCAGAUAAUUCAAAGCAAUCAUUAAACUGACCAAAUAAGAAAACUACUUUCAUGCCAUGGUCAUCUCUGGAUAACAAUCGAGAUGGGAAGAAGUUAAAGUUUGUGCUAAUGGUUCCUUCGCUCAAGUGAGCCAGUGAUGGUUUGAUUUUUGCAAUGUUUCUAGAUGAAAGAAACAAGACUGGGUGAGCUUUGUGAUGUAAAAGUUAAAUAUCAAGAUUCAAAUGCUGAUCAAGAACAACACCAAAGUUGUGAUGGAGGAAAUCUCAUCAAAAUUACAUCAGCUAUGAAGUAAUCACUGUGGUAGGAGGUAAUAAAUCUUUUAUCAGUGAUAAAUUCAGGAACAUUUUUUUUUUAUCUCUAGAGACAAGCCUAUCACUGCAUUAGUCACAACAGGGAGCUUCACCUAUUACAGUCUGUGGUUUCCAACAUUAUACAAAAAAGCAACCAUGAAUGCACUGCACCACAUAAAUACCUCUGGUGCACUGCAGGGAAACUGUCACCACAGCCACCAAAGCCUGUGAGCUAAAGAACAAUGCAAUUUCAAACAGCAUGAUACAGAUCUGCAGGAAAGCGUAAUGAGUUUUUGACUAAGAAAUAGCUUCACUAAAGCGUACCAGUGAAACUGUGUACAAACAAUUACAGUGGAACCCCGACUUACGAAUACCCUGUUUCACGAAAAAUUCAAUUUACGAAGGCACUGAACGGCAAUAUUUCUGCCCGUGUUACGGCAAAAUGCCCGAGUAACGAAAUCCGCUUUCUCUGAUUGGCUGAGCCUACAAUGCCCACAAUGCCUUCCGAAUCAUGUGACAUCCCCUUGGCUUCUGUACUUGCGCUUUGCUGUUCCACUUGAACGACAUAUUGUUGUUCUAGUUAGCAAUUAGCCUAUAGCCUAUCGUUCAGCAUCGCCUCACUCAAAACGCGCAAUGGGUGCUUCGACUUACGAAAAUCUUCGACUUACGAAAGACCCUCGGGAACAGAUUCAUUUUGUAAGUCGGGGUUCUGCUGUAUUAAUAAAUGUAGUUUUAGUUAUCAAAUACAACUCUUUUUUUUAAAUAUAUUUUUUUCUUUUCUUUUGUUUCAUUGUGCACUUUGGCCCUUAGAAAACACAACAUGCAAGAUACUGAGAGCUGACUGAAGUUACACAUUUAAGUUAUCUUUAUUAAUCCUUUAUAUCCAGGUAAAAAUCUCAUUGAGGUUAAACAUUUAUUUUUCAAGAGAGACUUGGCAUCAUGGCAGGUCUCUCAAGUAAAUCAAUAGUAAUAAGUACUUCUGUUAUUAUUAGCAUUAAAUUUAAUAAACUUUGUACUUACCUGAGACGAGGCUAAAACUCUCCACAAACUGAGUGCUACCAUUUCUCUUGAUGCCACAGAAGUAAAGCCUGCAGUCCUCUGCUGUCAAGUUUUUAAUCACAAGUUUGUUUCCCAGGAUUGAAAAUUUAGUUUCAAAAUCAGGAGAGUAGUAGGUAGAGCCUGCUGAGGAAAAACUGCGGCCGAUACCUGCUCUGAACUGACUGUAGAUCUCCAUGUACCAGUGGAUCUGUCUGAUGUCUGAUUGGAGCAGGUUAGAGUGAUAUUGGUCCCCAGCUCUCCUCCGACCUCGGUCACGUUCUCGGCCUCUGCACAGAGCAGAACCACCAACAGGAUCAUCCACAGGAGAACCAUGAUCAGCUUCAGCAUCCACAACAAGACGGAGUCGUCUGAAAGCAGCUCAGCUCUGAUGGGACAGACAAAGAAGUGCUCUGUACUUCCUACUUUACAUGGUGAGUUUGGCUGAUGUCACAUCUGAAUUAAAAAAAAAAGAAGAAAAUAAAAACCACUGACACCUCAGAGGAAAUGAAACCUUUUCAACCUUCAGUGAGCACUGUGCAGCUCAGGUUAACACUGCUUUUAAAGUUAAUCUGACUCUAACACCUCUGUGCUGCUUCCUUCUGCUGCUCCCACUGACAGCAGUAAAACUACUUCAUUUACUUGUACUUGAGCAAGAAAACAUUAAAGCAAGCAAAGCAAAUGAACCAAUCAUAAAACUAUCUUAAUGACUGAGUCAGCUGUUGUCUGCUGUAGCCUGCUUUUCC
ensembl:lncRNA